AUUGAACGCUGGCGGCAGGCUUAACACAUGCAAGUCGAGCGGAGCGAGGGUGCUUGCACCUUAGCUUAGCGGCGGACGGGUGAGUAAUGCUUAGGAAUCUGCCUAUUAGUGGGGGACAACAUUCCGAAAGGAAUGCUAAUACCGCAUACGCCCUACGGGGGAAAGCAGGGGAUCUUCGGACCUUGCGCUAAUAGAUGAGCCUAAGUCGGAUUAGCUAGUUGGUGGGGUAAAGGCCUACCUAGGCGACGAUCUGUAGCGGGUCUGAGAGGAUGAUCCGCCACACUGGGACUGAGACACGGCACCGACUCCUACGGGAGGCAGCAGUGGGGAAUCUUGGACAAUGGGCGGAAGCCUGAUCCAGCCAUGCCGCGUGUGUGAAGAAGGCCUUUUGGUUGUAAAGCACUUUAAGCGAGGAGGAGGCUCUUAAGGUUAAUACCCUUGAUGAGUGGACGUUACUCGCAGAAUAAGCACCGGCUAACUCUGUGCCAGCAGCCGCGGUAAAAC
rnacentral:rRNA from 1 species